CCUACGGGGUGCAGCAGUGAGGAAUAUUGGUCAAUGGGCGAGAGCCUGAACCAGCCAAGUCGCGUGAGGGAGUACUGCCCUAUGGGUUGUAAACCUCUUUUGUCGGGGAGCAAAAGCCGGACGUGUCCGGCUGUGAGAGUACCCGAAGAAAAAGCAUCGGCUAACUCCGUGCCAGCAGCCGCGGUAAUACGGAGGAUGCGAGCGUUAUCCGGAUUUAUUGGGUUUAAAGGGUGCGCAGGCGGAUUUUUAAGUCAGCGGUAAAAUCGUGGGGCUCAACCCCAUCCAGCCGUUGAAACUGGGGAUCUAGAGUGUGCGAGAGGUAUGCGGAAUGCGUGGUGUAGCGGUGAAAUGCAUAGAUAUCACGCAGAACCCCGAUUGCGAAGGCAGCAUACCGGUGCACAACUGACGCUCAGGCACGAAAGCGUGGGUAUCGAACAGGAUUAGAUACCCUUGUAGUC
rnacentral:rRNA from 1 species